rnacentral:rRNA from 1 species
UAAUGCAGUCGAGCGGACCGACGGGAGCUUGCUCCCUUAGGUCAGCGGCGGACGGGUGAGUAACACGUGGGUAACCUGCCUGUAAGACUGGGAUAACUCCGGGAAACCGGGGCUAAUACCGGAUGCUUGAUUGAACCGCAUGGUUCAAUUAUAAAAGGUGGCUUUUAGCUACCACUUACAGAUGGACCCGCGGCGCAUUAGCUAGUUGGUGAGGUAACGGCUCACCAAGGCAACGAUGCGUAGCCGACCUGAGAGGGUGAUCGGCCACACUGGGACUGAGACACGGCCCAGACUCCUACGGGAGGCAGCAGUAGGGAAUCUUCCGCAAUGGACGAAAGUCUGACGGAGCAACGCCGCGUGAGUGAUGAAGGUUUUCGGAUCGUAAAACUCUGUUGUUAGGGAAGAACAAGUACCGUUCGAAUAGGGCGGUACCUUGACGGUACCUAACCAGAAAGCCACGGCUAACUACGUGCCAGCAGCCGCGGUAAUACGUAGGUGGCAAGCGUUGUCCGGAAUUAUUGGGCGUAAAGCGCGCGCAGGCGGUUUCUUAAGUCUGAUGUGAAAGCCCCCGGCUCAACCGGGGAGGGUCAUUGGAAACUGGGGAACUUGAGUGCAGAAGAGGAGAGUGGAAUUCCACGUGUAGCGGUGAAAUGCGUAGAGAUGUGGAGGAACACCAGUGGCGAAGGCGACUCUCUGGUCUGUAACUGACGCUGAGGCGCGAAAGCGUGGGGAGCGAACAGGAUUAGAUACCCUGGUAGUCCACGCCGUAAACGAUGAGU